rnacentral:rRNA from 1 species
AUGUACAAUCCUACAACGUUAAUGCACUGGAUCCCAUUAGAACUUCGCAGUUAAGCAUGCUUGGGCUAGAGUAGUAUUGGGAUGGGUGACCUCCCAGGAAGUCAUAGUGUUUUACAUG